rnacentral:rRNA from 1 species
GAUGAACGCUGGCGGCGUGCCUAAUACAUGCAAGUCGAGCGAACAGACGAGGAGCUUGCUCCUCUGACGUUAGCGGCGGACGGGUGAGUAACACGUGGAUAACCUACCUAUAAGACUGGGAUAACUUCGGGAAACCGGAGCUAAUACCGGAUAAUAUAUUGAACCGCAUGGUUCAAUAGUGAAAGACGGUUUUGCUGUCACUUAUAGAUGGAUCCGCGCCGCAUUAGCUAGUUGGUAAGGUAACGGCUUACCAAGGCAACGAUGCGUAGCCGACCUGAGAGGGUGAACGGCCACACGGGAACUGAGACCCGGUCCAGACUCCUACGGGAGGCAGCAGGAGGGAACUUUCCGCAAUGGGCGAAAGCUUGACGGAGCAACGCCGCGUGAGUGAUGAAGGUCUUCGGAUCGUAAAACUCUGUUAUUAGGGAAGAACAAAUGUGUAAGUAACUAUGCACGUCUUGACGGUACCUAAUCAGAAAGCCACGGCUAACUACGU